rnacentral:rRNA from 1 species
GACGAACGCUGGCGGCGUGCUUAACACAUGCAAGUCGAACGGAAAGGCCUUUUCGGAGGUACUCGAGUGGCGAACGGGUGAGUAACACGUGGGUGAUCUGCCCUGCACUCUGGGAUAAGCCUGGGAAACUGGGUCUAAUACCGGAUAGGACCGCACUUUAGUGUGUGUGGUGGAAAGUUUUUUCGGUGUAGGAUGAGCCCGCGGCCUAUCAGCUUGUUGGUGGGGUAAUGGCCUACCAAGGCGGCGACGGGUAGCCGGACUGAGAGGUUGGUCGGCCACAUUGGGACUGAGGUACGGCCCAGACUCCUACGGGAGGCAGCAGUGGGGAAUAUUGCACAAGGGGCGCAAGCCUGAUGCAGCGACGCCGCGUGGGGGAUGACGGCCUUCGGGUUGUAAACUCCUUUCGCCAGGGACGAAGCGUUUUGUGACGGUACCUGGAGAAGAAGCACCGGCUAACUACGUG